rnacentral:rRNA from 1 species
UACGGGGGGAGCAAGCGUUGUUCGGAUUUAUUGGGCGUAAAGAGCGUGUAGGCGGCUUUGCAAGUCCGUUGUGAAAACUCGAGGCUCAACCUCGAGACGCCGGUGGAAACUGCAAAGCUAGAGUCCGGAAGAGGAGAGUGGAAUUCCUGGUGUAGCGGUGAAAUGCGCAGAUAUCAGGAAGAACACCCGUGGCGAAGGCGGCUCUCUGGGACGGUACUGACGCUGAGACGCGAAAGCGUGGGGAGCGAACAGG